rnacentral:rRNA from 1 species
GACGAAGGUGGCAAGCGUUAUUCGGAUUUACUGGGCAUAAAGCGCGCGUAGGCGGCUUGGCAAGUCGGGGGUGAAAGCCCGCAGCUCAACUGCGGAACGGCCUUCGAUACUGCCGGGCUUGAGGGCGGGAGGGGUGAUUGGAACUCCAGGUGUAGCGGUGAAAUGCGUAGAUAUCUGGAGGAACACCGGAGGCGAAGGCGAAUCACUGGACCGCAUUUGACGCUGAGGCGCGAAAGCUAGGGGAGCAAACAGG